GAUGAACGCUGGCGGCGCGCCUAGUACAUGCAAGUCGAGCGAACAGACGAGGAGCUUGCUCCUCUGACGUUAGCGGCGGACGGGUGAGUAACACGUGGAUAACCUACCUAUAAGACUGGGAUAACUUCGGGAAACCGGAGCUAAUACCGGAUAAUAUAUUGAACCGCAUGGUUCAAUAGUGAAAGACGGUUUUGCUGUCACUUAUAGAUGGAUCCGCGCCGCAUUAGCUAGUUGGUAAGGUAACGGCUUACCAAGGCAACGAUGCGUAGCCGACCUGAGAGGGUGAUCGGCCACACUGGAACUGAGACACGGUCCAGACUCCUACGGGAGGCAGCAGUAGGGAAUCUUCCGCAAAGGGCGAAAGCCUGACGGAGCAACGCCGCGUGAGUGAUGAAGGUCUUCGGAUCGUAAAACUCUGUUAUUAGGGAAGAACAAAUGUGUAAGUAACUAUGCACGUCUUGACGGUACCUAAUCAGAAAGCCACGGCUAACUACGUG
rnacentral:rRNA from 1 species